GACGAACGCUGGCGGCGUGCUUAACACAUGCAAGUCGAACGGAAAGGCCCUGCUUUUGUGGGGUGCUCGAGUGGCGAACGGGUGAGUAACGCGUGAGUAACCUGCCCUUGACUUUGGGAUAACUUCAGGAAACUGGGGCUAAUACCGGAUAGGAGCUCCUGCUGCAUGGUGGGGGUUGGAAAGUUUCGGCGGUUGGGGAUGGACUCGCGGCUUAUCAGCUUGUUGGUGGGGUAGUGGCUUACCAAGGCUUUGACGGGUAGCCGGCCUGAGAGGGUGACCGGCCACAUUGGGACUGAGAUACGGCCCAGACUCCUACGGGAGGCAGCAGUGGGGAAUAUUGCACAAUGGGCGGAAGCCUGAUGCAGCAACGCCGCGUGCGGGAGGACGGCCUUCGGGUUGUAAACCGCUUUCGCCUGUGACGAAGCGUGAGUGACGGGAAUGGGUAAAGAAGCACCGGCUAACUACGU
rnacentral:rRNA from 1 species